AAUUCCUGGACUUUAGACACGAACCCUAGCAACAGUUCGUUCCCUUCCAAAUUCAACGAAACCAAGAAACACUGAUUCAUACUCAAAUCAUCUCUUCCGCCCAACGCCCAUACUCACCGGCCAUAGCUUCUCAAGAGAUCUUAAACUACCCCCUACUCGCUAUCCUCUCCACAUCCUCACAGUUUCGACGCGGAAGCAAAAAUGGCGCACGGUUCGUGGCGAAGGUUUCUCUUUCAUGGCUUCAACGAGUUCUACGGAGACGGUCUCUCCUUUUAGCCAGAUCGAAAAUGGCCUCACCCCUAACAAACGCUCAGAGAACUUAACAGUAACAAAAUUGCAAAUGGUUAUCGCAAAUGGUUAGGAGAAAGCAGUGAGGUUAUCACAAGAAAGUAAAGUGGAUUUACCUAUCGAGCGUGCAUGGAUACUCCUGGUUGUUAUCGGACUCACAAUCACUCCUCUGAUAUUUCCUCCCUUUCCCUUUUUUUUAGUUUUGUGCAAUUGUAAAUGGGGCAGGAUAAAGCUCAAAAGGAGAUGUUCAAUCCACUGCCGAAUGAAAGAUGGUCUUUCAAUUGAUGAAGUUUGCUGAUAUGGAGAGGUUGAGAUCAACUCCACAUUUUAUUCUUGAAAGUUGUAAUUGAAAUGUGAAGUAAUUGAAAUGUGAAUUUGACUUUAAAAUUGAAAUGGAACUUGUAUUUUCUUGUUUUGA